CGCGGGAGCUCAGCUCCUCCCUCCACGGCCCCCGGCGGAGCGAGAGGCGGGAAACGGCCGCCGCCGCCGCCGCCCUCCCGAGCCUUCUCCCGGUGCCGAGCCGGCCAGGCACCGCAUCCCCUUGCGUCCCGCUGACCUGUCAGUCCACCUCACGGUUGGAGCCUGCGGGAGCUGAGCGGGGACUCCUCGGCACCCCUUCCCCGCUCAGGCCCGGGAGCCCGCGUGUCGGGCCGUCAGUCGGUCCCUAUGCCGCGCCGAGGGACAUGGCCUUCAUUUGGUCUGAUUUUCUGAGUCUCUCAAACUGCUGCUGCAGGGUCCUUGGAGACAGCUCGUUUCUCCUGGAAGAAUCGCCAAAGUCAGCUUCAGCAGCUCACAAACGUCUUCAUUGCUCUGAGCACAGCGCUAGGCAUAGAAUUGGAUUCAGCUGAUACUUGCCACCUGGCUUAGAGAACAAGGACUCCAGCUCCAGCCCCAGCUGCGGCACCUGCUAGUUCUGUGACCUAGGUUUCUUUGCUGGGAAGGCAGAGGAAGCCAGGAGAGGCCCGUCACAAUGGACUUCACCACUUCAUCGGCCCAGGUCGCGAUGCGGAAGCACCGAGAAUCAUCGGAGCUGGAAAGUAUAGUCCCCUGGUGUGCUAGGAAAGAAGAGGAGAAGGCCUUUUGGCCUCUGCCACGUCUCUUGACUUGGACACCUUCCCACUGCUGCUGACAGCAAUCAGACACCUGCUCCCUGAGCCCAUGGCAGCCAGCAUGCCUCUUCUACAGCACUCGCCACCCUCUCUCAGGCGAAAUGUGUCAUUUCGUGGUCGUUUUGCUUGAGGGUUUGUUUCUUCCAUCAGAGAUUCAACAGGACGCAUUUCAUUGUGGGCACCUGCUUCACGCCUUGCCUGAGCGUCUGGGGGAAAGCGUUGGAAAGCCCCUAGGGCGCGUCCUCAAACUUCCAUCAGAGCCUGCGGCUCUUAGGACAACGUUGCCCUUUGGCUUUGCCCAGCCGUGCCUCAAGC
rnacentral:lncRNA from 1 species